rnacentral:lncRNA from 10 species
AGUAUCGCGAGAUCAGGAAGGUGGCCGAGUGUGUCGCCGCGGCCAUCAGGCACUUCUCCUUCCUGCCCUUGUAUGAAGAAGGAUGUGUUUGCUUCCCCUUGUGCCAUGAUUGUAAAUUUCCUGAGGCCUCCUCAGCCCUGCAGAACUAUGUCUUGGUUUCUUGAAUUAUCCUUUCACGUCAUGGGGCUUCUAAGGCACUUGCUGCCAAAGGAGCCGGAAGGUAUGCCUCUUUUUCUGUUCUCCAGGUAGUAGAGCAUAUUUUAGCUUUUUAUUUCUUGCCAGUAUUCUUGCUUCACUUUCUUCAUUUAUCUUUUGUGCACUAAAGUUUGUCUUCUAACACUUUAGAUUAUGUGGAUUACAUGCCUGAAGAUGUCAAACUUCAAAAAUGCUUCUCUUUUGCCUUUAUAUUUGAAUGAUAGUUUAGCUCAGGGAUCAGCAAAUUAUGGCCCAAGGGCCAAAUGCAAUAAGCUGCCUGUCUUUAUAAAGUUUUAUUAGAACACAACCAUGCCCUUUGAUUUAUAUGUUGUCCACAGCUGCUUUCAGGCACAACAGCAGAAUUGAGUAGCUGUGACAGAGAUUGUACGAGCUGAAAAUAUUUACCAUCUGGUCCUUUACUUUAAAAGUUUUCUAACUGAUUAGCUAAUUAAACUCUCUGGACUGCAAGAAAUUUGUAAGCAUUGCGCCUCUAUCUUCUAAAGGUAAAUAAAGCUGUAGAGAUACCAGAGGUCAACUUGAUUCCCACCUACACUUCCAUUACCUACAUUAAUGACUUGGUCUUUUUGCAUGAUUAAAGGGUUUUUUCCUUUAUCUCUGAAAUCUCAUAACUUUUAGGCUAAUCUUAGUGUCACUCAUUCUUCAUCAGUUUUUCUUAUCACACUGUACAUUUGAUUCUUUUUUGUUAUUUUUGAAUGUUGUUUUGAACACCUAUAAUCCAAGGAUGCCAGUUAUCUACAUUUUCAUUUAACUUUGAUGGGCUUGUAUAGUUCUAUCUUUUUGCAUAUAUAUUCCUAUUGCUUACUUUUUUAGCCCCGUAUUCUGUGUAUCUUAUAGUAUUUUCAGUAAUGCCUAUUCAUCUUUUCCCUGGCUCUUGUAUCUCUGCUUUAAGAUUGUUAAAAAUUCUUAAAAUAUAUGACAAUAUGCUUGAUCAUAAUUUUGUCUGCCUGGUGACAACAUUUUUUUUUUUAAAAAAACAAAUGUUCCUUCUUCAUCUGCCAUUUGUUUUUUCUGUUUCCU